rnacentral:rRNA from 1 species
UCCAGACUCCUACGGGAGGCAGCAGUGGGGGAUAUUGCACAAUGGGGGAAACCCUGAUGCAGCGACGCCGCGUGAGUGAAGAAGUAUUUCGGUAUGUAAAGCUCUAUCAGCAGGGAAGAAAAAAGACGGUACCUGACUAAGAAGCCCCGGCUAACUACGUGCCAGCAGCCGCGGUAAUACGUAGGGGGCAAGCGUUAUCCGGAUUUACUGGGUGUAAAGGGAGCGUAGACGGCAAUACAAGUCGGAAGUGAAAUACCCGGGCUCAACCUGGGAACUGCUUUGGAAACUGUAUGGCUGGAGUGCUGGAGAGGUAAGCGGAAUUCCUAGUGUAGCGGUGAAAUGCGUAGAUAUUAGGAGGAACACCAGUGGCGAAGGCGGCUUACUGGACAGUAACUGACGUUGAGGCUCGAAAGCGUGGGGAGCAAACAGGAUUAGAUACCCGUGUACA